rnacentral:rRNA from 1 species
GACGAACGCUGGCGGCGUGCCUAAUACAUGCAAGUCGAGCGAGCGGAACCAACAGAUUUACUUCGGUAAUGACGUUGGGAAAGCGAGCGGCGGAUGGGUGAGUAACACGUGGGGAACCUGCCCUGUACUGGGGAAUAAUCAUUGGAAACGAUGACUAAUACCGCAUGUGGUCCUCGGAAGGCAUCUUCUGAGGAAGAAAGGAUUUAUUCGGUACAGGAUGGGCCCGCAUCUGAUUAGCUAGUUGGUGAGAUAACAGCCCACCAAGGCGACGAUCAGUAGCCGACCUGAGAGGGUGAUCGGCCACAUUGGGACUGAGACACGGCCCAA